rnacentral:lncRNA from 10 species
CAGGGAACUCCUGAAACCAAGGGUCUGGCAAAGCUACAAGAUGUGAGGGAAGCAGGGGAAACAGAAGAGGAAAGAGUGGUCCAAAAAUUAUCAUGUUACCGCACAGAAGUAUCCUCAUGACCUUCCCUCUCUACAACUGCUGCUAGUUCCUACAUCCAAGUGGCCAUGUGAGACUGAAUAUUAGAUGCCAAGUGCACACAUGUGUUAGACAUUCAGUGAUGCCUGCUGUUAGCCACGCAUUGUUGCAGACACUGAGGGUACAAAGGUGUUUUAAAAAUUGCAGGAGAGAUGACCUAAAUGCAGUAACUAAAUUAUAUCCAUCAGAUCAUGGAGGCCACAAAAGGGGCAAUGGCCAAUUCUAUAGGAGCAGUUAAAAAAGAAGAGGCAAGAUAAAAACUUCUUCAUGAUCACAUCUGAAGGAACGAUAUAUGUGGGAAAAAAAUGGUUGAAAUCUAACACAGUGCUUUUCAAUUAAUAUUCACAAAGGCAUCCGAAAAUGUUCACUGCAAAGCUUUGAACAAAUUGUGAGGGAGAAAUGAAGUCCACGCCCAUCUCUGAAUUCAAGACUGCCUCUGUGGUGAGGUCAUGUUACCUAUCCAAUUGCAGAUAAGGACACUGAGGCACAGAGAGGAUAUCCCACUUGCCUAAGGUCAUACCUUAAAGUGAAUUCUCUAGAAUCAAGAGGACCCAAGAGACAUUAUUUCAGCAGGAAACCAAAGAGAUAAGAUAAUUGACCUGGAAGAAGAGGAUUAUAGGAGUCAGAUGGACGAGUCUUCCUCCUUCUGAAUUCUUAGCGGCAAAAUCUCAGAACAUUCAUAAUCUCCAGUAAAGAAAGCUGCAACUAGAGAAAUCUAGUGUGUCUGGUGCGGCUGAGAAGCUCAAGAUCAAGCCCCCAUACGAGUUGGGAGAGUAUUAAAAAAAUAAACCUACAUGAACUGCAUUCAUUUAAUAACAAUUAGGUGCCUAGCAUUAUACUAGGAGCCAAAGAUACAGAUUUAGUCUUCAGGUGUCACUUCACCUACAGCCAAGUGAGGAAUACAGUUCUAAGUGAUUCAACAGCUCAAACAUAUAAUUAUCAAAAGCAAUGGUAAUACAGCCCAGCAACGGUUUUUCUGGACACUUUCUCCAGAACAAUGAAAAUAUUUGUUCAGACAUAAAUGUUCAUAGAUGCUUUAUUUUUAAUCUUCAAAAACUGGGAGAAAAAACACAAAUUCAGAUAUUGUUCCCUGGUGACGAAUGGUUAAACAAACUGUGGUACAUCCAUACUGUGGGAUACAAUAAAAAAAAAAACAAAGAGCAAUUGAUACAGACAAAAUCUGGCAUUAAUUUCUAAGGAGGAAUUAUUCAGAGGGAAAAAAAGUCAAUCCCAAGUGGUUACAUAAAGAAUGGCUCUAUUUACAUAACAUGUUAAAAUGACAAAGUAAUUAAAAUGGAGAACACACUGGUGGUUGCUAGGGGUUGGGUGAAGGAAUCAGGGUAGGUAUGAGGAGAGGGAAGUAGAUGUGACUAUAAAAGGGCAACCACUUAUAGUGAUACAUUAUUUUGUGUCUUCACUGUGGUAUUAGACACAUGAACCUACAUAUGGGAUAAAAGUGCAUAGAAAUAAACACAUACAAACAUAUGUAAGUAACAUUCGGGAAAUAUAAAUAAGAUUGAUGAAGUGUAUCAAUGUCAAUAUCCCAGCUGUACUAUUGUAUUACGGUUCCGCCAGAGAUUAUGAUUGGGGGACUCUAAGUAAAGGGUACACAAGAUCUCACUGUAUUAUUUCUUAUAACUGCAUGUGAAUUUACAAUUAUCUCAAAGUAAAACAUCUAAUUAAAAAU